rnacentral:lncRNA from 1 species
GAGCGCGCCGGCGGAGCAAAGGGGGCGGUGCUCCCGCCGGCUCGCCGCCCGACCGCCCGGCGGAAAGGGCCGAGCGAUCCCGGAAGGAGCCGAAGCGACAAUGCGGGGGAAGAGAUAGAGUCUUCCUCUGUCGCCUAGGCUGGAGUGCAGUGGCGCGAUCUCGGCGCACCGCAACCUCUGCCUCCCGGGUUCAAGCGAAUUCUCCUGCCUCAGCCUCCGGAGUAGCUGGGAUUACAGAUGUGCUCCACCAUGCCCGGCUAAUUUUUGUAUUUUUAGUAGAGAUGGGGGGGUUUCACCAUGUUGGCCAGGCUGGUCUCGAACUCCUGACCUUGUGAUCCACUAGCUUCGGCCUCCCGAAGUUCUGGGAUUACAGGCAUGAGCCACCACACCCGGAUGAAUUAUGCCAUUUUUAAGGCAAAGGUAAGGAGAGGAAAUGUGAAUGGAACCGCUCCUGGGGGCUCACCCACCACAGGCCUUGUCUGGGAGGGCUAAUGAGGUCAUCAUGCCAAGGCACACCAGCUGGGAAGCUCUUCGCUAAGGAACUGCUAUCAAGCAUAGUUUGAAAACUACAGUGACAUGUCCAGUUCUUUUGUUUUACAGGUGGGGAUACUGAGGUUCAGAGCGGGUGAAGGACCUUCCCAAGGCCAAAAAACCUAAAAGUGAUUUGAGCCGGGGUCUCCUGACUCCGUCCCCAGUGUUCAUUCCAUUGUGUCUACCUUAUUUAUUUAUUUAUUUUUUUGAGACAGGGUCUUGCUCUGUCACCCAGGCUGGAGUGCAGUGGCAUGAUCACAGCUCGCUGCAGCCUCGACCUCCCAAGCUCAAGUGAUCUGCCCACCUUAGCCUCCUGAGUAGCUGGGACUACAGACAUGUGCCACCAUGCCUGAAAAAUUUAAAAAAAAAUUUUUUUUUUUUUUGAGACAGAGUCUUACUCUGUCGCCCAGGCUGGAGUGAUCUCGGCUCACUGCAGCCUCUGCCUCCUGGGUUCCAGCAAUUCUCCUGCCCCAGCCGCCUCUUGGGUAGCUGGGAUUACAGGCACACACCACCAUGCCCAGCUAAUUUUUGUAAUUUUAGUGGAGACAGGGUUUUGCCAUGUUGGCCAGGCUGGUAAGACGUGAGCCACCGCGCCUGGCCAAAAAAAUUUGUUUUAGACAUGGGGGUCUCACUAUGUUGCCCAGGCUGGUCUUGAACUCCUGGACUUAAACAAUCCUCCCACCUCAGCCUCCCAAAGUGUUGGGACUGCAGGCAUGAGCCACUAAGCACGGCCUAUUGUGUCUUUCAAAGAUUUUAAUACACUUUCACAUCUCUUGCUAGAUAAAAUAGGGUCAGUUAUUAGUACAUAAUUCCAAAAAAGGAAAUGACAGAAAAAGAAGUAAUAUUCCCAAGGUGUAGGUCAAGAAGACCAAAAGGAAUAAAUGCAUACCGCUCUAUACCUGGACUUGUAUACUAUCAUGAUUUACAUAGCUCAAGGCAGAGGAAAUUGAUCAUAUUGAACCAAUAUAUCAG